GCUGUGGUUUGCUCCUCCUUCCAGUCCUUGUGGCACCAGAAUUGCUCCAAAGCUCAGUGCUCCCCACGAGGGGGGUUUCUGUGGUGGUCAGCGCUGCCCUGAUGUAGGAAUGUGCCCCGUGUUGACGGAGUGACUAAAUUAUUUUUUGUCUGCUUGAAAAGGCAAAAAGCCCAGAAGUUUCUCUCCCAAUUUGGUACAAAGACACCUCACAGGACCUUUGGGACUUCACCUCAGACCUGGGGCUGUCCAUUGGACAGAGGCCAAGAGGUCCCACCUGGGUAAUUCACUAGAAAAGGAAGAGAACAAAGGAAAUAAUUGCUUUUGUGGGGUGUUUUACCAGGAGCAAGAUCCUCUUGCCCCUAGGCUUAGUUUUUCUCUGUAAGAGUUUUGUUAUUUUGCCUUUUAUUAAACCUUUUUCUGUUUCCAGCACUACCUCAAAAGCCAUCCUGCUAGUUUUAUGCCAUUCAAGGUAGCUGGGCUGUCUCAAGUGUGAUAGGUUCUCUAAAAGCCCAUAAAACCCAGCUCAAAGAGAAACCCUGAGAUCCCUCUUCUUCCUUGUGAAAAAUGCCAAUCACUUGGUUUUAAAAUUUUUCAAGUUGAAUAGUAAUAAAAUGGUUAUAAAAAUAGUAAUAUAUUUAGAUUAAUAAAAAAUUUGGACAAUUAGGAUUAGGACAAUACAUGACAAUAAAAACAAAGAGUUACAGACAGUCCAGGUACCUCUUUCUGGGCAAAAUAAGCCCGAAAAAGGACAGAGGAUUAACCCUUAAAAACAACAGCCUGUUGCAUAUUCAUACACCUCAGGCAUGGUGCAUGAAUUCCAUUCCAGCACAGGAUUCUGUCUGGUCAACAUCUUCCUCUGAAUCCUGAGCUGAGCGAGGCAGGAAGAAGUUCAUUUCUUCUGAUAAUGGAGCAAUAUAUUCUUUUUCUCUGAAAGCUUUAGGUGUCCUGUGGCUGCUAUCUCAGUGCAAGUGCCUCUCCUUA